UGUUUCGACACAAAACCAACCUCAAACACUCGCCUUCGAAGACAGAUAGCUCGAUGACACAACUGUUCGAUCAAUUUACUCACACCAUGCUAAUGGAAGCAGCGAUGGUGUACCCAAUCGCGACUCCGACGAUGUUGAGUGAAUACCAAGGUUGGCACGGACGGCGUCCAUGUAGGUGUAGUUGCGCUUGCCGGCAGCGGGAUCACCAGAGCGGUAGCAGUCGGAGAGGAGAGCAGAUGUGUAGUAAGUUACGAAGGAGAAGAGAAGCAUGGCGGCUGGGCCAAUGACCCAUCCGAGCUGACCGACGGCCCAGGCCAAAGAGAGCACUCCAGAGCCGAUGACUGCAGUGACGAUGUGAGCGCUUGCAGUCCACACAGUGCCUGCGAAGAUGAUAACUUGAGAACAAAAAACUACUGAAACAGUGGAACUGAAGCCUUCUGUGAUUUCUUACCAGUCCUCUUGGGACGACCAUCGUCGUCGAAGCACUCGGAAGCUCCCUGCGAGAGGCCAACUUCUAGUGCUGCCUGGUGGCAGUAGUUGGCAGCACCGAUCUCAUCCAUCUUCGAACUGCAGGUGUUGCACUUCAGUUGCACUGGAUCUGAGCAGCUCUUUAUAGUGGCAAAAUGGAAAUAGUGAACAGAGGCCAUCUAAGGUGGACUCGGUGGAUUCCAUAAAGGUACCACUACUCAUCUCUCAUUGAAGGUGAUGACCACAACAGCCUUCGUGUCUCACCACUGACCUCAUCGGAUUGUUAAUGUGCUUGUAGUAUCCCCACUCCCAUUAACUCGUAGGUAGGUUGGGGUGGGAGCAGUGGCAGGAACUAGGAAG